rnacentral:piRNA from 1 species
UGCUGCUGUCUUUUUGUCCCUGGC